UACGGAGGGGGCUAGCGUUGUUCGGAAUUACUGGGCGUAAAGCGCACGUAGGCGGCUUUGUAAGUUAGAGGUGAAAGCCCGGGGCUCAACUCUGGAAUUGCCUUUGAGACUGUGAGGCUUGAGUACGGGAGAGGUGAGUGGAAUUCCCAGUGUAGAGGUGAAAUUCGUAGAUAUUGGGAAGAACACCGGUGGCGAAGGCGGCUCACUGGCCCGAAACUGACGCUCAUGCACGACAGCGUGGGGAUCAAACAGG
rnacentral:rRNA from 1 species